AGCGAACGCUGGCGGCAGGCCUAAUACAUGCAAGUCGAGCGCCCCUUCGGGGGAGCGGCGGACGGGUGAGUAACGCGUGGGAACGUGCCCUUUGGUACGGAACAACUGAGGGAAACUUCAGCUAAUACCGUAUGUGCCCUUCGGGGAAGAUUUAUCGCCAUUGGAGCGGCCCGCGUUGGAUUAGGUAGUUGGUGAGGUAAAGGCUCACCAAGCCUACGAUCCAUAGCUGGUCUGAGAGGGGAUCAGCCACACUGGGACUGAGACACGGCCCAGACUCCUACGGGAGGCAGCAGUAGGGAAUAUUGGACAAUGGGCGAAAGCCUGAUCCAGCAAUGCCGCGUGAGUGA
rnacentral:rRNA from 1 species